UACGUAGGGUGCGAGCGUUGCCCGGAUUUAUUGGGCGUAAAGGGCGCGCAGGCGGCCACGCGCGUCCGUUGUGAAAUCGCUCGGCUCAACUGGGCGAGGUCGGCGGAUACGGCGUGGCUAGAGCAAGCUAGGGGGCAAUGGAAUUCCCGGUGUAGUGGUGGAAUGCGUAGAUAUCGGGAGGAACACCAGUGGCGAAGGCGGUUGCCUGGAGCUUUGCUGACGCUCAUGCGCGAAAGCGUGGGGAGCGAUCCGG
rnacentral:rRNA from 1 species